UUGCAGGGCAUCUUUAUCAGUGAAGAACUUAGAAGCGACUGUUAAGGAUCAAGAACGCUUCAUUGACGAGCAUAAUGCAGUCUCUCAGGUAUAUUGCAAAAUGAAUCUUGAAACAGUAAAGAUGUGAAUACGGUUAAGAAGCUUGUGGAUGACUGCAUGUCUAGCCAGAUGUCUUCAUCUCUUUUGACCUCAUGAUGCUGUUACAGCCCUGGGUCCUAUAUGUACGAAGUGCACGAUAAGAACCACCUUCCCAAAAUGCAUGCUUGUUAUAACUCUGUUUCGGAGUUGCUUGAUUGCUGCAAGAACAAGAAGAACGGGAUGAACAAGAUUCAUAUGAGAAGCGAAUCCAUGAACUGGAACAACGUCUCGCCGAUGAUUAUCUAAAGGGACAGAGAAAUAUUAAUAAUAAUACGGAUGCCUCUGGGUUAAAACUUAUGAAGGCAGCAAAGCUCAUGUAUCUGGUUCGGAGCACAUGGAUGAGGAGGGCUCUCAUGUGUUUCAAACCUUUAUAGCAAGCAAGCCAUGUAAAGCUCGGGAAGAUGAACUGUCCGCAUGUAGUGAAGUGCUUACAUGAAGCAAGAGAAGAAGCCCAGACCCAUCUCUGUGCUGCUGAUCGUCGAGCUUCCGAGUACAAUACACUACGCGCAUCAUCUGUGAAGAUGCGAGGCCACUUUGAAAGACUCCGAAGCUCUGUCUGCGCUGGUGGUGGGGUUGCUCUGAAUCCGAGGCAUUGUUCACAGAUCACCUCCCAAACAGUCCUACAUACAUCGUCGGAGAGAUUGUCCACAUCGAACGCCAAGCAGUGAAGCAGCCAUCACCUCCGGAGGCUAGUGGUAAGUCAGAUUAUGUUCUCGGCUCAAGAAACCUGGCAUCAAGUUCAAUGUCAACAUCGUCUUCAGGAAAAACAACAAUGGUCUCUCUUCAGGAUGUGAAUACCUUCAUAGUGACAAUAGCAAUGCUUCCUGAUCCUUUUACUUGUUCUUCAUAAGGCAGAUUGAUGUGAUGGAAGAAAACCGUUCCCUAAAGAUUCAUAAAAGUAUGUAAAUACUUUUUUAUCAAAGUAACAAUAACCGGACAGCCACCUUCUUCAGCUCAUGAUCGCUGAUCUUAGUUUAAGCUUUUAGUCCCCCUUGUACAUACUCUGCUUUCUUUUUGGUAAUUGAAAUACAAAUAAAAAUAAUAUUUUCUCAACAAA